AAAACUUUCAACAACGGAUCUCUUGGCUCUGGCAUCGAUGAAGAACGCAGCGAAAUGCGAUAAGUAAUGUGAAUUGCAGAAUUCAGUGAAUCAUCGAAUCUUUGAACGCACAUUGCGCCCCUUGGUAUUCCGAGGGGCAUGCCUAUUCGAGCGUCAUU
rnacentral:rRNA from 3 species